GUGCUUCCUUCAGCAGCACAGAUACUAAAAUUGGAAAGACGCUGCGAAGACUAGUUUUGCCCUUCUGCAAAGAUGACAUGCAAGUUCAGGAAGAAUUCUACGUUCUU
ensembl:snRNA Gm25464 U6 spliceosomal RNA